GACGAACCGUGCGAACGUUAUUCGGAAUCACUGGGCUUAAAGGGUGCGUAGGCGGGUCGAACAGUCAGGGGUGAAAUCCCACGGCCCAACCGUGGAAGUGCCUCUGAUACUGCCGACCUCGAGGGGGAUAGGGGCAUGCGGAACUCAGGGUGGAGCGGUGAAAUGCGUAGAUAUCCUGAGGAACACCGGUGGCGAAAGCGGCGUGCUAGGUCCCUUCUGACGCUGAGGCACGAAAGCCAGGGGAGCAAACGGG
rnacentral:rRNA from 1 species